GCUGGGCAUGGUGGUGCACGCCUGUAAUCCCAUCAGCUCCCAGAGGCUGAGGCAGGAGGAUCCUGAGUUCAAAGCCAGCUUCAGCAACUUAGUGAGGCACUAAGCAACUGAGCGAGACCCUGUCUCUA
rnacentral:sRNA from 1 species